rnacentral:tRNA from 1 species
GGAGAGUUGUCCGAGCGGUUUAAGGAGCACGCUUGGAAAGCGUGUGUACUCACAAGGUACCGAGGGUUCGAAUCCCUCACUCUCCGCCA